rnacentral:miRNA from 1 species
UUGCACUGGCCUGCCCGGGGGU